GCCUUAUGCCGUCCCAACUUGUAUGGGGAUUAUGACAUUUGGCUUGUAAUCAAAGGGGCUCGGGUUCGAACCCCGAAUAAGGCA